UGGGGAAUUUUGGACAAUGGGGGCAACCCUGAUCCAGCAAUGCCGCGUGAGUGAAGAAGGCCCUCGGGUUGUAAAGCUCUUUUGUCAGGGAAGAAACGGUCUACUCUAAUACAGUGGGCUAAUGACGGUACCUGAAGAAUAAGCACCGGCUAACUACGUGCCAGCAGCCGCGGUAAUACGUAGGGUGCAAGCGUUAAUCGGAAUUACUGGGCGUAAAGCGUGCGCAGGCGGUUUUAUAAGACAGAGGUGAAAUCCCCGGGCUCAACCUGGGAACUGCCUUUGUGACUGUAAGGCUAGAGUGUGUCAGAGGGGGGUAGAAUUCCACGUGUAGCAGUGAAAUGCGUAGAUAUGUGGAGGAAUACCGAUGGCGAAGGCAGCCCCCUGGGAUAACACUGACGCUCAUGCACGAAAGCGUGGGGAGCAAACA
rnacentral:rRNA from 1 species